rnacentral:rRNA from 1 species
UACGGAAGGCAGCAGUGGGGAAUAUUGCACAAUGGGCGCAAGCCUGAUGCAGCCAUGCCGCGUGUAUGAAGAAGGCCUUCGGGUUGUAAAGUACUUUCAGUCGUGAGGAAGGUGUUAAGGUUAAUAACCUUAGCAAUUGACGUUAGCGACAGAAGAAGCACCGGCUAACUCCGUGCCAGCAGCCGCGGUAAUACGGAGGGUGCGAGCGUUAAUCGGAAUUACUGGGCGUAAAGGGCACGCAGGCGGUUAAUUAAGUUGGAUGUGAAAUCCCCGGGCUUAACCUGGGAAUGGCAUUCAAGACUGGUUAGCUAGAGUCUUGUAGAGGGGGUAGAAUUCCAUGUGUAGCGGUGAAAUGCGUAGAGAUGUGGAGGAAUACCGGGUGGCGAAGGCGGCCCCUGGACAAAGGACUGACGCUCAGUGUGCGAAAGCGUGGGGAGCAAAC